CAGGGGGCUAGCAAAACAUCAUUAAUAAGAAGGAUGUAGGCGAAUUACAGAGACAAAGCACACCUUGCCACUGGUGACAUUUUACAGUGCGCCAACCUUAUAGCAAAAGCAGCCCUGCAAGCUUCAGAAGCUGCAAGAUGAAGGUCUCCACCCAGGGACAAUGAAGAGUCAAUUCAAAAGAAUGAAGCUGACAAGCCCAGCCUUCUUUCGAAACUAUUUGCAUGAGAAUCAUCACUCUGAAGCAAGCAAAUUCCAGUCUGUUUCCUCACUCCCU
rnacentral:lncRNA from 1 species